rnacentral:rRNA from 1 species
AUUGAACGCUGGCGGCAUGCCUUACACAUGCAAGUCGAACGGUAACAGGUCUUCGGAUGCUGACGAGUGGCGAACGGGUGAGUAAUACAUCGGAACGUGCCUAGUAGUGGGGGAUAACUACUCGAAAGAGUGGCUAAUACCGCAUGAGAUCUACGGAUGAAAGCAGGGGAUUGCAAGAACUUGUGCUACUCGAGCGGCCGAUGGCAGAAUAGGUAGUUGGUGGGAUAAAAGCUUACCAAGCCGGCGAUCUGUAGCUGGUCUGAGAGGACGAUCAGCCACACUGGGACUGAGACACGGCCCAGACUCCUACGGGAGGCAGCAGUGGGGAAUUUUGGACAAUGGGCGAAAGCCUUAUCCAGCAAUGCCGGGUGCAGGAUGAAGGCCUUCGGGUUGUAAACUGCUUUUGUACGGAACGAAAAGCCCCGGGUUAAUACCCUGGGGUCAUGACGGUACCGUAAGAAUAAGCACCGGCUAACUACGUGCCAGCAGCCGCAGUAA